rnacentral:siRNA from 1 species
GCGUCUGUAGUCCAACGGUUA